CAUUGGCGGUGAAAAUGAUGGAGCCAGAGCCCUAACCCCUCCCAAGCUUCUCGUCGUCGUCCGAAACCCUAACUAUCUUCUCUCUCGCAAGGUGCUGGAUUUUGUUAAGGUUGUUAUGAAAUGGCAACAAGAUCAGACCAGGAUAUUGACGAUGACUUUAGCGAGCUUUACAAGGAGUACACGGGUCCUCUAGGAUCGACAACUGCCAAUGUACAGGACAAGGUAAAGACAAACAAAAGGUCUCAUGCGGGUUCCGAUGAGGAAGAGGAACCUCCUCGUGACCCAAAUGCUGUUCCAACUGAUUUCACAAGCCGAGAAGCUAAGGUUUGGGAAGCCAAGUCGAAAGCUACUGAGAGGAUUUGGAAGAAAAGGAAAGAAGAGGAAUUGAUUUGCAAAAUAUGCGGAGAGUCUGGUCACUUUACUCAGGGGUGCCCUUCUACUCUUGGAGCAAAUCGCAAGUCUCAAGAUUUUUUUGAGAGGGUACCUGCUAGAGAAAAGCAUGUGAAAGCACUUUUUACAGAGAAAGUUAUACAAAAGAUUGAAAAGGAUAUUGGUUGCAAAAUCAAGAUGGAGGAGAAAUUUAUUAUUGUCAGUGGCAAGGAUAGGCUAAUUUUGGCAAAAGGUGUGGAUGCUGUGCACAAAGUGAUUAAGGAGGAAGGUGAUCAAAGGGUUUCGUCUAGUUCCCACAUGGUAAGAUCUAGGUCACCUAAACAAAGCCCUGCUGAUACACGGUUGCGACGCUCUGAUUCCCAAAGGUCUCGUUCUAGUUCUCAGAAUGCAUCUCAGGUUCAGCAGAGGUUUGGUAGGCAAGAGAAGGUUGCAGAAGACCAUAUUCGGGAUGAUCUACGGAAAUUUUCAAGGGGUUCUCCACAAGCUUAUGGUAAUAAUGGAGCUAGAGAUUGCUCAAGCCGUUCAAAGUCUCCAGCAUGUCCUCCUUACAUAGGCAAGUCAAAUAAUUCAUAUGAUGGUAAUAAUCAGAGCAUCAAUGCUUAUAGAACUGAUGGAUGGGAUAAUGAGAGGAGAGGAUCUGAUAUGCAAACUGGUCGUCAGUUUGAUUCCUUCCCUCAGACAUUAGAAGGACUAGAGUUGGAGUUUAAAAGGGAGGCAAUGGAACUUGGAAGAAUUCGGGACAAGGAAGAAGAUGAAGAAAAUUACAGGCAUCGUGAGGCUAUUAGGGAGAUGAGAGAGAACUACAUGAAGCAACUGGCUAUUCUGAAGGGUACUCAUGCAAAACAGUGGGAGGAGUUUCUCCAAUUUGAUGCCAAGAGGCGUCAACAACAGGCACAUCAGCAAUUGCCCUCUUCUGGUUUUGGUGGUUAUAAACAGCAUGGUUAUUCCGAGUAUGAUGGCACCUUGGCCAAUCCUCAUUAUCCUGGGGCCAGUUUAGCAAUUGAUUCAAGAAGCCGAUAUCCAAACCCUAUGGAAAAUUACUCUUCAAGGCCUCACAACAAAUUUAAUGAAUUUCAGCGUCAAAGGCGCGAAGAUUAUGGAAACCCUUACGAUCGAUACUAGUCAUUAUGCUUAAGACUGGGUCCAGAUCUUGCACGGGUAUGGAUUAUGCACAGAGGAAGAACAUAUCUAGAGCAAUUUCGCAGGGCACUUGCAGCCAUGAAUGCUGCAAAAGGAGCCAGCAACAUGGUUGGCGGCGUUGUUUUUACACAAUGUGAAGCAUUGAGUUUCAACUUCGGUUUCUGAAGUUUACCAGCCUUCGAGGAUGCUUCUAUUAACGAGUGCUAUGUAAAUCUAAUUGGACCAUACACAAAGGCAGUUGCAAGAACAGUUCUAGGUGCUAGUCCUUGACCCAGAUCGAUGCUCUCUUCCCCCCCCCCCCGCCGGCCAAAAAAAAAAAAACUCAUCUUUUGCGUUCUUGGUACCCCCUUCACCCCUCUCUUGGUUGGGGAGUUCUCUCUCUAUUUUUUUUUUCUUUAAAAAAAUAUUAGUUGAGAGUGGUUGCUAAUUAGGGGUGUGCAACCGGAUCUGGAUCCGAAUUCUAAAAAUCAGACAGUUAUCCGUCA